UCAAUCAACAUAGGUGACAUCGUGUUAGUUUCUGAUAGGAAGUCCAACCAAGUACACCGGGGAGAGAUUGUUGGCUUCGAUGAUGCAUUCGAGGUGCUUAACGUUGAUAGUGGCAGCAAAGAGUCGGUAAAACGAAAUCUUUUACGCAAACCUUCCAUGCUAUUGCGGUAGUUGCCGGCGUGUUGCUUUUUGAAAAAUCUCUUGCUAAUAGCCCGAUUAAUUAGUUUCUUUGGAUAGCUGCAUGAAAAAUCCUACUGAGUUUUACAUAACGUACAACGACAGUAAUAGCAUCGACUUAUCAUUUCAAACCUUUGAAAGGAAAUCGAUAUGCAAAGGAUUAUUACUAAUGUUAUUUAAGUUACCGAAAAGUCACAUACUCCUGCAACUCAGUCAAAGUAUUUGGAUUCGGUUGUGACUGCUUCAUCGUCAUUUGAGAGUACAUCUUUGAGACGAUCUCUUCCGAUAUCCUUAAAGAGAGAAUGGAAUCGCUAAAGAUUGGGAACCACGAACAAGGCCAAUAAGUUGGAAGGAUCCAGUCGUACGUGAAGUUCGACGUAAUUCGAAGAUUAUACAGAGUGUUUGCAACGAAUCCACUUUUCCACGUAGGAAAUACAAUACAGAGGGAUAUUUUAGAUUUAUGGAAUGAAUGCAAUGGAAAAGCAUGCAGGAAAUGCCUCAAGGAUCGUAAGAAGAGCAGUCGAUUUAACCAUGUUUGUCCGUUCAUUUGUCAAUCUGCUGUAUCAUAAAGUCUAGUUGCGUUUCUUAAUGCCAGUAGGUCAAGUAUUUCCUUAUUCAAGGUUGUUUUUUCAACGUUAACUCAUGCGUGGGAUGUCUUGGAUUGAAACAGCGUAACACCGGGAAAACAUAUUAGGAAAAUGGAAAUCUGUUUGGCUCUCUACGAUGAGGAUGACCAAUGGUAUCGGGCUUUGUUUUUGGCCUACUUAAAGAAUGGCACCGUUUUGGUCCAUUAUUUCGAUUAUGGCAAUGUAUCAAAAAACAUGUCAAAAGAAUUAAUAUUCCCUCUGUACGCCCAUCAAAUUUACAUUGAUGAUUGUAAGUAUCUAAACGUACAUACGAAACCCACCAAAAAUAAAAUACUUCUGUCAUUUUGAUGGUUUAGGCAUAAAAUCUGAUGAACGUGCCGUUACUUUUGCA